rnacentral:rRNA from 1 species
AUUGAACGCUGGCGGAAUGCUUUACACAUGCAAGUCGAACGGCAGCAUAGGUGCUUGCACCUGAUGGCGAGUGGCGAACGGGUGAGUAAUACAUCGGAACGUGCCCAGUCGUGGGGGAUAACGUAGCGAAAGUUACGCUAAUACCGCAUACGAUCUACGGAUGAAAGCGGGGGACCGCAAGGCCUCGCGCGAUUGGAGCGGCCGAUGUUAGAUUAGGUAGUUGGUGGGGUAAAGGCUCACCAAGCCGACGAUCUAUAGCUGGUCUGAGAGGAUGAUCAGCCACACUGGGACUGAGACACGGCCCAGACUCCUACGGGAGGCAGCAGUGGGGAAUUUUGGACAAUGGGCGCAAGCCUGAUCCAGCCAUUCCGCGUGCAGGACGAAGGCCUUCGGGUUGUAAACUGCUUUUGUACAGAACGAAAAGCUCUGGGUUAAUACCCUGGGGUCAUGACGGUACUGUAAGAAUAAGCACCGGCUAACUACGUG